GACGAACGCUGGCGGCGUGCCUAAUACAUGCAAGUCGAACGAGAGCGACCGGUGCUUGCACUGGUCAAUCUAGUGGCGAACGGGUGAGUAACACGUGGGUAACCUGCCCAUCAGAGGGGGAUAACAUCCGGAAACGGAUGCUGAACCGCAUAGGUCUUCCAGCCGCAUGGCUUGAAGGGGGAAAGAGGGGCAAGCUUCUUCUGAUUGAUGGGCCCGCGGUGCAUUAGCUAGUUGGUGAGGUAACGGCUCACCAAGGCCGUGAUGCAUAGCCGACCUGAGAGGGUGAUCGGCCACAUUGGGACUGAGACACGGCCCAAACUCCUACGGGAGGCAGCAGUAGGGAAUCUUCCGCAAUGGACGCAAGUCUGACGGAGCAACGCCGCGUGAGUGAAGAAGGUUUUCGGAUCGUAAAACUCUGUUGUUAGAGAAGAACAAGUGCUAGAGUAACUGUUAGCGCCUUGACGGUAUCUAACCAGAAAGCCACGGCUAACUACGUG
rnacentral:rRNA from 1 species